rnacentral:rRNA from 1 species
GAUUCCCCUAGUAACUGCGAGUGAAGCGGGAAAAGCUCAAAUUUAAAAUCUGGCAGUUUCACUGUCCGAGUUGUAAUCUAGAGAAGUGUUAUCCGCGCUGGACCGUGUACAAGUCUCCUGGAAUGGAGCAUCAUAGAGGGUGAGAAUCCCGUCUUUGACACGGACUGCCAGGGCUUUGUGAUGCGCUCUCAAAGAGUCGAGUUGUUUGGGAAUGCAGCUCAAAAUGGGUGGUAAAUUCCAUCUAAAGCUAAUAUUGGCGAGAGACCGAUAGCGAACAAGUACCGUGAGGGAAAGAUGAAAAGAACUUUGGAAAGAGAGUUAAACAGUACGUGAAAUUGCUGAAAGGGAAACGCUUGAAGUCAGUCGCGUUGGCCGGGAAUCAACCUUGCUUUUGCUGGGCGUAUUUUCUAGUCGACGGGUCAACAUCAGUUUUGACCGUUGGAUAAAGGCAUGGGGAAUGUGGCAUCUUCGGAUGUGUUAUAGCCCUGUGUCGCAUACAACGAUGGGACUGAGGAACUCAGCGCGCCGCAAGGCCGGGUCUUUGACCACGUUCGCGCUUAGGAUGUUNGCAUAAUGGCUUUAAUCGACCCGUCUUGAAACACGGACCAAGGAGUCUAACAUGCCUGCGAGUGUUUGGGUGGAAAACCCGAGCGCGUAAUGAAAGUGAAAGUUGAGAUCCCUGUCGUNGGGAGCAUGACGCCCGACCAGACCUUUUGUGACGGAUCCGCGGUAGAGCAUGUAUGUUGGGACCCGAAAGAUGUGAACUAUGCCUGAAUAGGGUGAAGCCAGAGGAAACUCUGGUGGAGGCUCGUAGCGAUUCUGACGUGCAAAUCGAUCGUCAAAUUUGGGUAUAGGGGCGAAAGACUAAUCGAACCAUCU